CUGUGCUCUCUUUCUUUCCUGCUGCCUUGUGAAGAAGGUACUUGCUUCUCCUUCGCCUUCUGCCAUGAUUGUAAGUUUCCUGAGGCUUCCCUAGCCACGUGAACUGAAUCCCCACAUGCUAUGGAUUGAAUAUUCGUGUUCCUCCCAAAAAUGUGUAUGUUAAAAUCCUAACCACUAAGUAUAAGCUCCUUGGGAGCAGAAAUUUUGUUUUUUCUGAAUAUCUGCAAUACACAGCAAAAAUCAUGUGCAUUUAGGAUCCGUUUAACUACAAAUGGCAGAAAACAUAGCUACAAAUUGGCUUAACUAAUAAAAGCCAGUGGUGUGGAUGACCCAAGAGCAGCCAGGAUGGGAGACAGCUAGACAGAGCCUGCAGGCCCCUCUGGAAUACUUUCACUAUCAGAACGCAAUGAAUAACAAACCUUUAAAAACUCCUAUGAGUUACAGAGAAAGCUUCCAGUGAAGAUGGUGGUAUUGGCUCAGUCUAGGAAAUGGAAGAAAGGAAAAACAGAACAGCAGGAGCAAAAAAAUAAAGGCAAAAUUCCAGCAUGUU